GAACGGGUGAGUAACACGUGGGUAAUCUGCCCUGCACUCUGGGAUAAGCCUUGGAAACGAGGUCUAAUACCGGAUAUCACCUUCUCUCGCAUCGGGAGGGGUUGAAAGUUCUGGCGGUGCAGGAUGAACCCGCGGCCUAUCAGCUUGUUGGUGGGGUAGUGGCCUACCAAGGCGACGACGGGUAGCCGGCCUGAGAGGGUGACCGGCCACACUGGGACUGAGACACGGCCCAGACUCCUACGGGAGGCAGCAGUGGGGAAUAUUGCACAAUGGGCGAAAGCCUGAUGCAGCGACGCCGCGUGAGGGAUGACGGCCUUCGGGUUGUAAACCUCUUUCGCCAGGGACGAAGCGCAAGUGACGGUACCUGGAUAAGAAGCACCGGCUAACUACGUGCCAGCAGCCGCGGUAAUACGUAGGGUGCGAGCGUUGUCCGGAUUUAUUGGGCGUAAAGAGCUCGUAGGCGGUUUGUCGCGUCGGCCGUGAAAUCUCCACGCUUAACGUGGAGCGUGCGGUCGAUACGGGCAGACUUGAGUUCGGUAGGGGAGACUGGAAUUCCUGGUGUAGCGGUGAAAUGCGCAGAUAUCAGGAGGAACACCGGUGGCGAAGGCGGGUCUCUGGGCCGAUACUGACGCUGAGGAGCGAAA
rnacentral:rRNA from 1 species